GGUGGUUCUAGGGUGACAUACCAGGAUUACACUCCCUCCUCUCUGGUUCUGGGUGUGUCACCCGAGAACCACA
rfam:Myotis davidii contig94353, whole genome shotgun sequence.